UACAGGGGGUGCAAACGUUGCUCGGAAUUAUUGGGCGUAAAGCGCGCGUAGGCGGCUACUUAAGUCGGAUGUGAAAGCCCCUGGCUCAACUGGGGAAGUGCACCCGAAACUGAGCAGCUAGAGUACGAAAGAGGGUCGCGGAAUUCCCGGUGUAGAGGUGAAAUUCGUAGAUAUUAGGAGGAACACCGGUGGCGAAGGCGGCCAACUGGACAGUAACUGACGCUCUGGCGCGAAAGCGUGGGUAUCAAACAGG
rnacentral:rRNA from 1 species